rnacentral:SRP_RNA from 1 species
GUUUGGAACCCGUGCGGCACUGCGGCGUGAACCAUGUCAGGGUCGAAAGGCAGCAGCAUUAAACGUUUGCGAUGCGCGCCGCGGGUAUGCCGGCCCGA